AGAGUUUGAUCCUGGCUCAGGACGAACGCUGGCGGUGUGCUUAACACAUGCAAGUCGAACGGUAAGGCCCUUUCGGGGGUACACGAGUGGCGAACGGGUGAGUAACACGUGAGUAACCUGCCCUCAUCUCUGGGAUAACAGUCGGAAACGGUUGCUAAUACUGGAUAUGAGCUUGCAAGGCAUCUUGUGGGUUGGAAAGAUAUUUUUUGGUUGGGGAUGGACUCGCGGCCUAUCAGCUUGUUGGUGAGGUAGUGGCUCACCAAGGCUUCGACGGGUAGCCGGCCUGAGAGGGCGACCGGCCACAUUGGGACUGAGAUACGGCCCAAACUCCUACGGGAGGCAGCAGUGGGGAAUAUUGCACAAUGGACGGAAGUCUGAUGCAGCAACGCCGCGUGCGGGAUGACGGCCUUCGGGUUGUAAACCGCUUUCAAUUGUGACGAAGCUUUUUGUGACGGUAGCAGUAGAAGAAGCACCGGCUAACUACGUGCCAGCAGCCGCGGUGAUACGUAGGGUGCGAGCGUUGUCCGGAUUUAUUGGGCGUAAAGAGCUUGUAGGCGGUUUGUCGCGUCGGGAGUGAAAACUUGGGGCUUAACUCUGAGCUUGCUUUCGAUACGGGCUGACUUGAGGGAGGUAGGGGAGAAUGGAAUUCCUGGUGGAGCGGUGGAAUGCGCAGAUAUCAGGAGGAACACCGGUGGCGAAGGCGGUUCUCUGGACCUUUCCUGACGCUGAGAAGCGAAAGCGUGGGGAGCGAACAGGCUUAGAUACCCUGGUAGUCCACGCUGUAAACGGUGGGUACUAGGUGUGGGGGACAUUCCACGUUCUCCGUGCCGUAGCUAACGCAUUAAGUACCCCGCCUGGGGAGUACGGCCGCAAGGCUAAAACUCAAAGGAAUUGACGGGGCCCCGCACAAGCGGCGGAGCAUGCGGAUUAAUUCGAUGCAACGCGAAGAACCUUA
rnacentral:rRNA from 1 species